rnacentral:rRNA from 1 species
UACGUAGGGUGCAAGCGUUGUCCGGAAUCACUGGGCGUAAAGGGCGCGUAGGCGGCCUGAUAAGUCGGGGGUGAAAUCCUGUGGCUUAACCACAGGGCUGCCUCCGAGACUGUCGGGCUCGAGCACAGUAGAGGCAGGUGGAAUUCCCGGUGUAGCGGUGGAAUGCGUAGAGAUCGGGAAGAACAUCGGUGGCGAAGGCGGCCUGCUGGGCUGUUGCUGACGCUGAGGCGCGACAGCG